CAACAUGCUAUCUAUUCCCACUUCGAUUGCUGAGUUCCCAUACCUACUGCUCCCCUUUCCAUUCCGUGUGCUUCCAUUCCGACUUCCUCUUUCCCCUUCUUCUCGCCCAAUGCUCUGCGUUUCUCUCAGUCCGAGUUGCUUGUCCGAACCCUAGCUUCGCGCUUCUCCUCGGACGAUUUUUUGCCGCCUGUGACGAUUUCGAUCCGCGACAGCCAUGGAUAGAUCCGCCACUGCCACAGUUCGUCGUUCUUACCCUAUGCUUGCAAGAAUGCCAGAUCGGUCUGUAGUCCCUGUGCUUCAGUGCGCUUGUAGUGGAGCUGCUUUCAAUCGUACAUCCGGCACAGACCGUAAUCCUGGCAGGCGAUUCUACACUUGCUCGAUCUGUAAAAUGUUCAUUUGGGAGGAUUUACUCAACAAGUAUGUUGAAGAGAUGGUUUUUUAUUGCCACUCAGCUACUAUAGACGCGCUGCAGGUUGACCUUGAUACUGCUCGCCAGAUGCUUAGGCAAAAGGAUAUGCAGAUUCAUGCUUUGGAACAGGAAUUGGGCAAUUCUUUCUGCGAUGCUCCUCGCGCAGUUGAAUCCUUUUGAACCUAGGAAGUGGAGCUUUGGGUUCGUGAAGUUUAGUUUGAUUCUCCUGGUAUUAGUUUUUUUUAAAAGCUUUAUCUGGCAGCAUGAAGUGCCUCCAAGCUAGCUGAUGCCUUGUUCAAUGAGUUGCCCUCUUUUGGUCAUUGUAGCUAUUAGGUGAGUUGUGCUAAUUGUAGGUAUUAGGUUAGCUGCUUAGAACAAAGCACUGUUGUUGCUACUGUUCUGUAACCAACAUUAUGUGCUAUUGUACUUGUACUAUUUCUCUUAGCAACUGAUCAGUUAUCACUUAUCACUGCUGUUUUAUGCUUCGC